rnacentral:rRNA from 1 species
GUCGAGCGAAUGGAUUAAGAGCUUGCUCUUAUGAAGUUAGCGGCGGACGGGUGAGUAACACGUGGGUAACCUGCCCAUAAGACUGGGAUAACUCCGGGAAACCGGGGCUAAUACCGGAUAACAUUUUGCACCGCAUGGUGCGAAAUUGAAAGGCGGCUUCGGCUGUCACUUAUGGAUGGACCCGCGUCGCAUUAGCUAGUUGGUGAGGUAACGGCUCACCAAGGCAACGAUGCGUAGCCGACCUGAGAGGGUGAUCGGCCACACUGGGACUGAGACACGGCCCAGACUCCUACGGGAGGCAGCAGUAGGGAAUCUUCCGCAAUGGACGAAAGUCUGACGGAGCAACGCCGCGUGAGUGAUGAAGGCUUUCGGGUCGUAAAACUCUGUUGUUAGGGAAGAACAAGUGCUAGUUGAAUAAGCUGGCACCUUGACGGUACCUAACCAGAAAGCCACGGCUAACUACGUGCCAGCAGCCGCGGUAAUACGUAGGUGGCAAGCGUUAUCCGGAAUUAUUGGGCGUAAAGCGCGCGCAGGUGGUUUCUUAAGUCUGAUGUGAAAGCCCACGGCUCAACCGUGGAGGGUCAUUGGAAACUGGGAGACUUGAGUGCAGAAGAGGAAAGUGGAAUUCCAUGUGUAGCGGUGAAAUGCGUAGAG